AGGAUGGAGCUAAGGUGGAAUAGGAGAAGGUAGUGGUGGUUUCUUUCCUUUCCUUUUUUUUCUUUUCCUUUUUUGUUUUAUCUUGCUCCUUCUU
rnacentral:ribozyme from 12 species